AAUUAUGCGUUAAUAGUUAAAAGGACCUUGUUGGCAAGUAAUGGGGCUUUUAAUUAAAGAUAGGGGAAAAUGACAUCAAAAAGCCUUGCGGAGGAGUGGCUAAGUGACGCCACUUAGGGUGUAAAGAGGUGGCGUUAGUGGCUAGCAAGAGAUCCAAGGUUCGAAUCCUAGCUUAGUAUUUUUAGGAGUUUAAUUUUGGGCCUUCUAGAAGGUUGAAAAUGGCAUGAAGAUGGACUUCGAGGGAAGUGUUUAGUAGAGAAAUCUGAGGAAAGGAUCAAGGGGUUAUCUGGGAGAAAAACGAGGAGAUGAGAAGUGAGGAGCAAGUGAGUCGAAUUGGGAAUUUGGGCUUGAGGAAUUCGGCUAUAGGGACUAUAAAUAGGUGCCGAGUGGGAGGUUGUCAG
rnacentral:lncRNA from 1 species